AGUAACACGUGGGCAACCUGCCCGGAAGUGGGGAAUACCUCGGGGAAACUCGAGCUAAUACCGCAUAACAUCUUUGGGACGAUGGUCCCGACGAUCAAAGCGGGGUCGCAAGAUCUCGCGCUACCGGAUGGGCCCGCGCCUGAUUAGCUAGUUGGUGGGGUAACGGCUCACCAAGGCUUCGAUCAGUAACCGGCCUGAGAGGGCGAUCGGUCACACCGGAACUGAGACACGGUCCGG
rnacentral:rRNA from 1 species